UCCCAGACAGACUCCACGGAUCACGAGUUGAGGCAUCUUGGUUCCUCUGACAUCAGCCAAUCAGUCAUGUCUGGAGGGGGCAUUCCCUGGUGUAAGGCCCUUCCCCCUUGUGACCAUACAAGGUAACAGAGGAAUGCAUGGCUUGGCAGUCCAUCUGCUUCAUAAGAGAGACACACACAAAGAGCAGACGGUGUCCCACACUGAUGAGCAACACCAUUUUAGUCUGAUUUGAACUUCAGCUGACUGUGAAAAUAGUUUGAAAGCUGUCAAAGAAUAUUUUAGAGAACUUUUAGUAGGAUGCCCAUGGGGCAAACCUGCUCCCCAUCUCAUCACCAGCAGCAAUGUUGUAAAAGCAGCCUUAUAGUGGACAGACAAGUCAAAGAGCAGCUAAUUCAUUUCAUCCAGGAAAACCAAAUAAGCAGCCAGUGGAGAUGACAAGCGAUGGAAAACCAGCAGUGAAGCAGCUCCGAGCAGCACCUCAGCUGACCUGCAGCAGAGAACACAAGAGCUCGGCCUGUGUAUUCAUGCUCCAACAUAAACGAAGGAGAAUCAGGAGUUGUGGAAGAAACAGUCCAGAGUGAGAUGAGAGGAUCUAUAUACCAUCAUGUUCCAUAGCUGGAGAUGCUGCAUAGAAGCACUGAAUGCCUGGAUAAACAGUCAUUCAUCAGUAGAUCCAGAAUGUAACUCAACAAGACACAAUGUGUUAAUCAGUGGGCUUCAGAGGUGUUGGUGGUGCUUUUGAGAUGAGAUAGUGGAGAGCAAAGAUGGAGAUCCAACUGUCUGCACUAAGGAUGUCAGAGAUGAGCAUGUAGUAGAGAGGAUUUUCUGAGGACUUUUGCUUUCAUCACUAACCAGGUUUGGUCUGUGCUAUUGUUUCAUCGCAUGCAUUACUUGCCACAACAUACAUGAAGAUAAAAUGUUUAUCAAUUAGUUUGUGGAAUCUGAAUAAUAACAGCUGAGAAUUCAGACAACAUGAUUUUGAUAUAUCAUGAAUAUUUUAACUGGGAAUGUAUUAAUCUAUAUUACUGAUGUGCUACUUUUUUUUUUUUAGAUAAAACCAAUUUAACAGUAUUGCUGAUGAUACCACUAUGUACAAAUCUUCAACUAAUGUUGAGGAUAUAAAUUAUACACUGAAGAAUGAACUACAUUUGAUUUUAAAAUGCGUACAGAAACGAUUUAGUUCUAAAUGUGUCCUAAACUAAACACAACACUAUGGAGGGGAAACCAAUUACUGUACGUCUCUUCAUCAAGGGCACCUUUAUACAGCAAGUCAGGGAGGAGAAACUUACAGGCUCAUGCAGUACUGUAGUAUUCGCUCAUCUGUCAGUGCUGCCAAAAAACAGCUGAUAAGCUUCAGUUAGUGCAGAACAGGGCCCUGUUCUUCAAAUGUGGUUUAACUAAUUCAGGCCAGCAUGCCGUUAUCAGGCUAAAACAAUCCUGUUAAUUCUAAUCCAGCUAAUUCAAUUCUUUGAACGCAGUUUGAGGACUGAUUUGUUAAUCCUGGAAGAAGUUAUCUUUCGCUCGCACUCACAUGAAGGCAAAAUGAGAAUAGAGUUGAAACCAUGAGUGUUUAUCAUGUGACUGCAGGUACAGUAUUUCAGGUAGGUAUGUUGGGAACCCUCCCAGCAUGCACUGGGGCAACAAUCUCCUUUUAUGCAUGUUCCUGGAUUUUACAGCUGUUAUUCUGUUACAAACUAUAGGUUAUGGUUUCCUCUGUUUCCACACUUUGAACACUGUUAUAAAUUAGAUAUGACCGGUGAAUGUGGUCAGACCACGAGUGAUGCUGGUACAUGACUGCUAGAGGGUUCCCAAUGGACAUGCUACAGACCUUUCACUGAUAAUCAUAGACCUGCUAUGAAAAUGAGGCCUUACCAAAGUCUCUUAAAAAACAACUUUAAUUGCAUGAAAAAUAUUCAACAAAGUCAGCUCAGUCAGCUCAGAUUCAGUUCAUCACUGAAUAAGUUGUAGUGUUCAAAUGACGAAGUCCCAUUUUAAUGUCAAAUUUAAUAAAGCUUAGUGAAAGUUCAAACAGGAAGACUAUCUUCAUGCUCACUCUGUUUACCGUUUCUCUCGCCUUCCUUCCCCUGCUUCCAACUUAAUCAGCUGACUGAGGGUGGUCAUUCUUUCAGUUAAACCAAUCAUAUUUUGCCAUGGCAUCUAUGAGCCAAUCAUCUUGUUGCUGUAAAAAUUUAAAACUGUUAUUCUCUCUGCUGCUGUCAGCUGUCAUUUCAAUGUGGGAUCGAUACAAAUAGCCAAUGUUUACAUUACCUUUUUCAGUUUCAUCUUGUUGGUAGCCAAGCUGAUGUCUGAUUCUGACCAUGACCUUUUCCUGGAGGAUCCCAACGCCAGCAGUAAUGUUCUACUGGAGACCACAUCUUCCACCUCUGGUGGUCGGUGCAGGAGCACUCCCUCAGCUGUGUGUGGCGGCUCCCCUCCAGAUGAGUCAGAUUUCUACUGACCCAGAUACAUCUGCUUCAGCAGCUGGUACUCCCUCUGUGCCUGUUUAUGGCCUCAAAAGGACCAAGAAAUCCACGUUCUUCACCUUCAGUCCUUGGAAAAUACUUCAGCCUCUGCCCCAUCAUCAGUGACCCUUGCUGCCACCCAGGCCACCAUGCUGCAGCCUGCCUCAGUGUUCAACAAGCACUUGACCCCUCAUCCAUACUGAUUCAAGCCAAUCAACAUUCUCUGGCCUCAGCCAUCACUCAUGACAUGACCUCAGGAUCCCAGACGGUAGCUGUGGCCCUUUGUUUCUGAGAUCUCAAUUGUUCCACGUUUAAGUGUAUCCACGUCAGAUCCAAAUAGUACUUUAAAGCAGUGGAACCCUGUUUUAAAGUACCUUGUUAACGCAUUACAAGCCCCACAUCUUCUUCUAGUUCUAGUUCCCAAAAUUUUACAUUGUGUUAACUCAUGAUAUACAUUUUUAAUCAGCCUAUCUACACAGUCAAAACACGCCACUUCUAUGCCCACACUGUAAGAUUAGUGCAUUUUCAAAAAAAGCAGAAUUACUUUGUGCAAUUAACAGAAAACAAUAACAAGAAGAAACAACUGGAGACAAGUGGAGGAAACCUUGUAAUUUCGAAACUAAGUGGACCGAAUAUUUAGACUGCAGUACUUUGGAGCUUCAACCAGGACUCCAAAAUAAAUUACUAAUGUUUGUGAACUUCAACCUGGAGUCAAAACAUUUCAUUAAAUUAGCAUAUUUUCUUAAACAUACAAAGUGAGUACACUCCUGUCCUUCACCAGCUAACGACUACACAGAGGAGGCAAAAGGCUGCUUGACCUCCCAAAAAAAAUGACUGCACCCGAUGUUCCCACAAAUCUCCAAAAACACUAGCAGCCAUAGGAAUUGUGACUGAUGUCUGUCGGGGUAAGAGAUAUGACAUCAUUAUAGAACCACAGAGUCUGCGGAGGUAGGAGGGACAACAAAACAAUGUACACCAAUAUUUGUUUCCUGUUUCCUACCAACAGUCAGCACUGGUUUCUUUUAGCCAUGACCACAGUUGUUCACUAUCCUUAACCAAGUGUUUAUUAAUGGAACCAGUGAUGAUGAAGUUCACCAACAAAAGUUGUAAUUGUAGCUCAAACCAGAAUGAACCAAAUCUUAACCAGAGUGUUUAGCACUGACAGACGAUGUGGUCCUGUUGGUAGUGGUGUCACAUCACACUUGGAUGUGUCCCUUAGAGGACAUGGACAAACACUUUGUGUUAUGGUUGAAUUUGGGGGGACUCUUUGGAUCCUACUUCACUGUGACUGGCAGAAUCCAUACAGCGCAUUGUGAAAGUAGUGGAAUGUAUUUGGCUCAGCAGCAAAUAUGUGAGUGAACCAGUAGGUGUGGGUAUACCUGCAAACGACAGCAUAGUCUGAAUACACUAUUCCACGGUCAGAUAGUCAACCCCAUUCUUCUGCUUUGAAUCUGCUCUGGCUAUCAGUAGUGUUAAAACCAUGGAGGACUAAGUAUGCACUGCAGUCCCAUACAUUUACCUUCACUACACUGCAAUACAGUAUGCAGAUAUAUAUAGGCUCUGAGCUUUAACCGGUUUAAGCAGCCAACUUUGUACUGCAUAUGAAUACGUGCCUGUUUUUGUAUAUCAAUAUUUCACUUUUUAACUACCUCUCUUUAUGUGCAGUAUGUAUUAGUUAUCUAAAGGUCAACAACCAAAAUAUUUGUUUAUCCGUACAAUGUUUGGAGCAAAUCAUAUGGAUAUUCUGCUGUACAUUAUGGUCAUGGCUAAUCCUGUAGAAAUAAUACAAGAAAUUUAAGCUAUUUUAGAACUUGGCUCUUUCUGUUAUUCAUUUCUGGUGGUUGUGAUAACAUUUGAAUAACCUGCAUCACUGCUGGGACCCGAGGACAAAAGUCACUGUGAAAACAGUGUGAACAUUCAACAGAGAUUUGAAACAAACUCAUUGAUGAGUUUAAUUGCUUGGAAGUGAAAAUAAAAAGUGUACACAAAUCCGCAGCCUGAACCAUUGCAAUAAAUACAGGUUGUCAAAUUUAAACCAAGAGGUUGUUCUGCAAAAUCUAAUGCAUGUGUACAAUUAUCAGAUGGACUAAAAACUUAAUCAUCUACCUUGGUUUUAAUUUCUAAGGUGAAUGACAAAUAUGGACCUGUCCGAUGACACACACAUUCAACUUCUCAAAGGUGUAGUGAGGAAUUCUAUACACAUUGCUUGACAUGUACAGGUUAGACCAGCAGAGGCUGUAGGCCAAUCAAGUACCAGUAUACAAGUCAAAGCUCUCAUGUUGCUGAAGAUGCAACAAGCUGUCACUGAAAAAUAGUGAAUGAGUAAAUUAGUCAAAAUAUUCACAAAAUCUUAAAGGAAUUCACACAAGUGAACCAUUGCAGUUAUGUAUUCAAAUGAAAUCCUGUCUGCUGGAUAAGCAGCCACCUUAUGUUUUGUCUAUUUAUUACUUUAAUUUUUGCUCGUCGGAGCUCACAUAUUGAUGAUCAGGUCAGGUUGGGAAUACAGACCACUGUAUCACUGCAGGGACUGUGAACUGUCCUACAGGGCAGUUGAUCUGAAUGUGUUUUCCCUGUAGAAGCUUCAUCACUGCAUAAAGUACACGUACAGCACAAUAAAAGUCAUGCCUGCAUGUGUAUGCAACAGCGACUGUAUGCACACUUGUUUUGGAUGUGAACAUGUUACUAAUACUAUACCUCCUUUCCACUAUGGGAAUUUAAUUACUUCUAACAUGGAGCUUCCCAUAACCCGAACCUCUGAGUACUUGUGGGGCAGAUGUGGUCAGUUCUGUUUUGGAACUUGAUUUAGUACCAACUCCUGAAGGGGGCUGAAAUUUAGCCCCUGGAACUUGCCUUCAAAGCAGAACCUGGGACAGCAGCUACAUGUUCAGUAACAAGUUGGUAAGUUCAAUAGUGGAAAAGAGCUGUAAGAAUUGUCUGAAGCUACGCUCAUAUUAGCUCUCCUUUCAACAAAACUUUGGGAUGUGAUGUCACAGUUCCAACAUGGCUGAUAAAUGCUGAGCAGGGGUACCACAGAGCAUAAAGGGAGAGUGAUGCUGCAGUUUGUAGUUUGAUAGUGUUACUGUAGGAGUAACUGACAUAGUCAUCUGCUAUCGACAAUACUGUGCAGGGCAACAGCCACCCUCUGUGUAUGUGUUUAGCUACAUGUAACGUUUCACUUUAUGAGGCACAUCAUCUAUUUUUGAUGUCAGGGACAUCUUCAAAGUCUGGAAGAAUUGUCAGUGUUGAUG